rnacentral:rRNA from 1 species
GACGAACGCUGGCGGCGUGCUUAACACAUGCAAGUCGAACGGAAAGGCCCUGCUUGCAGGGUACUCGAGUGGCGAACGGGUGAGUAACACGUGGGUGAUCUGCCCUGCACUUCGGGAUAAGCCUGGGAAACUGGGUCUCAUACCGGAUAGGAGCCAUUUUUAGUGUGAUGGUUGGAAAGUUUUUUCGGUGUAGGAUGAGCUCGCGGCCUAUCAGCUUGUUGGUGGGGUAAUGGCCUACCAAGGCGGCGACGGGUAGCCGGCCUGAGAGGGUGGACGGCCACAUUGGGACUGAGAUACGGCCCAGACUCCUACGGGAGGCAGCAGUGGGGAAUAUUGCACAAUGGGCGCGAGCCUGAUGCAGCGACGCCGCGUGGGGGAUGACGGCCUUCGGGUUGUAAACUCCUUUCGCUAGGGACGAAGCUUUUUGUGACGGUACCUAGAGAAGAAGCACCGGCUAACUACGUG